rnacentral:rRNA from 1 species
GACGAACGCUGGCGGCGUGCUUAACACAUGCAAGUCGAACGAUGAAGCUGGAGCUUGCUCUGGUGGAUUAGUGGCGAACGGGUGAGUAACACGUGAGUAACCUGCCCUGGACUCUGGGAUAAGCGUUGGAAACGACGUCUAAUACCGGAUAGGACCUCGGGUCGCAUGAUCUGGGGUGGAAAGUUUUUCGGUCUGGGAUGGACUCGCGGCCUAUCAGCUUGUUGGUGAGGUAAUGGCUCACCAAGGCGUCGACGGGUAGCCGGCCUGAGAGGGUGACCGGCCACACUGGGACUGAGACACGGCCCAGACUCCUACGGGAGGCAGCAGUGGGGAAUAUUGCACAAUGGGCGCAAGCCUGAUGCAGCAACGCCGCGUGCGGGAUGACGGCCUUCGGGUUGUAAACCGCUUUUAGUAAGGAAGAAGGGGCUUCGGCCUUGACGGUACUUGCAGAAAAAGGACCGGCUAACUACGUGCCAGCCGCCGCGGUAAGAC